CUCCUACUGGAGGCAGCAGUGAGGAAUAUUGGUCAAUGGACGAGAGUCUGAACCAGCCAAGUAGCGUGCAGGAUGACGGCCCUAUGGGUUGUAAACUGCUUUUAUAAGGGAAUAAAGUGAGUCUCGUGAGACUUUUUGCAUGUACCUUAUGAAUAAGGACCGGCUAAUUCCGUGCCAGCAGCCGCGGUAAUACGGAAGGUCCGGGCGUUAUCCGGAUUUAUUGGGUUUAAAGGGAGCGUAGGCCGGAGAUUAAGCGUGUUGUGAAAUGUAGAUGCUCAACAUCUGAACUGCAGCGCGAACUGGUUUCCUUGAGUACGCACAAAGUGGGCGGAAUUCGUGGUGUAGCGGUGAAAUGCUUAGAUAUCACGAAGAACUCCGAUUGCGAAGGCAGCUCACUGGAGCGCAACUGACGCUGAAGCUCGAAAGUGCGGGUAUCGAACAGGAUUAGAUACCCUGGUAGUCCGCACGGUAAACGAUGGAUGCCCGCUGUUGGUCUGAAUAGGUCAGCGGCCAAGCGAAAGCAUUAAGCAUCCCACCUGGGGAGUACGCCGGCAACGGUGAAACUCAAAGGAAUUGACGGGGGCCCGCACAAGCGGAGGAACAUGUGGUUUAAUUCGAUGCAACGCGAAGAACCUUACCUGGUCUUGACAUCCACAGAACUUUCCAGAGAUGGAUUGGUGCCUUCGGGAACUGUGAGACAGGUGCUGCAUGGCUGUCGUCAGCUCGUGUUGUGAAAUGUUGGGUUAAGUCCCGCAACGAGCGCAACCCUUAUCCUUUGUUGCCAGCGGUCCGGCCGGGAACUCAAAGGAGACUGCCAGUGAUAAACUGGAGGAAGGUGGGGAUGACGUCAAGUCAUCAUGGCCCUUACGACCAGGGCUACACACGUGCUACAAUGGCGCAUACAAAGAGAAGCGACCUCGCGAGAGCAAGCGGACCUCAUAAAGUGCGUCGUAGUCCGGAUUGGAGUCUGCAACUCGACUCCAUGAAGUCGGAAUCGCUAGUAAUCGUGGAUCAGAAUGCCACGGUGAAUACGUUCCCGGGCCUUGUACACACCGC
rnacentral:rRNA from 1 species